UACAGAGGAGCCAAGCGUUGUCCGGAUUGACUGGGCGUAAAGCGCACGCAGGCGGACGCGCGCGUGGGGUGUGAAAUCUGGCCGCUUAACGGCCAGCGGCCAUCCCAUACGGCGGGUCUGGAGCGAUGCAGAGGUCGGUGGAAUUGCCGGUGUAGUGGUGAAAUGCGUAGAUAUCGGGAAGGAACACCAGUGGCGAAAGGCGACUUCCUGGCCAUAGUUCGUGACGCUG
rnacentral:rRNA from 1 species